rnacentral:rRNA from 1 species
CCUACGGGAGGCAGCAGUGAGGAAUAUUGGUCAAUGGACGAGAGUCUGAACCAGCCAAGUAGCGUGAAGGAUGACUGCCCUAUGGGUUGUAAACUUCUUUUAUAUGGGAAUAAAAUGUUCCACGUGUGGGAUUUUGUAUGUACCCUAUGAAUAAGGAUCGGCUAACUCCGUGCCAGCAGCCGCGGUAAUACGGAGGAUCCGAGCGUUAUCCGGAUUUAUUGGGGUUAAAGGGUGCGUAGGUGGAUUGUUAAGUCAGUUGUGAAAGUUUGCGGCUCAACCGUAAAAUUGCAGUUGAAACUGGCAGUCUUGAGUACAGUAGAGGUGGGCGGAAUUCGUGGUGCAGCGGUGAAAUGCUUAGAUAUCACGAAGAACUCCGAUUGCGAAGGCAGUUCACUGGACUGCAACUGACACUGAGGCUCGAAAGUGUGGGUAUCAAACAGGAUUAGAUACCCGUGUAGUC